rnacentral:rRNA from 1 species
GAUGAACGCUGGCUACAGGCUUAACACAUGCAAGUCGAGGGGAAACGACGGGGAUGCUUGCUUCCCCGGGCGUCGACCGGCGCACGGGUGAGUAACGCGUAUCCAACCUGCCUCUGACUGAGGGAUAACCCGUCGAAAGUCGGCCUAAUACCUCAUGGUAUCGUCUGCGGGCAUCCAACGACGAUUAAAGAUUUCAUCGGUCAGGGAUGGGGAUGCGUCUGAUUAGCUUGUUGGCGGGGUAACGGCCCACCAAGGCUACGAUCAGUAGGGGUUCUGAGAGGAAGGUCCCCCACAUUGGAACUGAGACACGGUCCAAACUCCUACGGGAGGCAGCAGUGAGGAAUAUUGGUCAAUGGGCGAGAGCCUGAACCAGCCAAGUAGCGUGCAGGAAGACGGCCCUAUGGGUUGUAAACUGCUUUUAUGCGGGGAUAAAGUGAGGGACGUGUCCCUCAUUGCAGGUACCGCAUGAAUAAGGACCGGCUAAUUCCGUG